rnacentral:rRNA from 1 species
UACAGAGGGGGCAAGCGUUGUUCGGAAUUACUGGGCGUAAAGGGCGCGUAGGCGGCCUGCUAAGUCGAACGUGAAAUCCCCGAGCUCAACUCGGGAACUGCGUCCGAUACUGGCAGGCUUGAAUCCGGGAGAGGGAUGCGGAAUUCCAGGUGUAGCGGUGAAAUGCGUAGAUAUCAGGAGGAACACCGGUGGCGAAGGCGGGUCUCUGGGCCGACAUUGACGCUGAGGAGCGAAAGCGUGGGGAGCGAACAGG